AUAAGCGGAGGAAAAGAAACCAACAGGGAUUGCCCUAGUAACGGCGAGUGAAGCGGCAACAGCUCAAAUUUGAAAUCUGGCUCUUUCAGAGUCCGAGUUGUAAUUUGCAGAGGGCGCUUUGGCUUUGGCAGCGGUCCAAGUUCCUUGGAACAGGACGUCACAGAGGGUGAGAAUCCCGUACGUGGUCGCUAGCUAUUGCCGUGUAAAGCCCCUUCGACGAGUCGAGUUGUUUGGGAAUGCAGCUCUAAAUGGGAGGUAAAUUUCUUCUAAAGCUAAAUAUUGGCCAGAGACCGAUAGCGCACAAGUAGAGUGAUCGAAAGAUGAAAAGCACUUUGGAAAGAGAGUCAAACAGCACGUGAAAUUGUUGAAAGGGAAGCGCUUGCAGCCAGACUUGCUUGCAGUUGCUCAUCCGGGCUUUUGCCCGGUGCACUCUUCUGCAGGCAGGCCAGCAUCAGUUUGGGCGGUGGGAUAAAGGUCUCUGUCAUGUACCUCUCUUCGGGGAGGCCUUAUAGGGGAGGCGACAUACCACCAGCCUAGACUGAGGUCCGCGCAUCUGCUAGGAUGCUGGCGUAAUGGCUGUAAGCGGCCCGUCUUG
rnacentral:rRNA from 1 species